AACCAUAGAAACCUGCGGAGUACCUGCGGAAGGAUCAUUACAGAGUGUGACCCCCUGUAAAAAGGGGGGUACCUCCCGUCCUUUGCAGGCCCUUUAGGGUCUUUUACACUUUGCUUCGGUGGGGUAACCCACCGGAGCACUCUCAAAAAUUCUGAUUUUAAAAUUGUUCAGUCUGAGAAUUUUGAAAAUAAAAAAAAAACUUUUAACAAUGGAUCU
rnacentral:misc_RNA from 1 species